rnacentral:rRNA from 1 species
GCAGCAGCCGCGGUAAUACGUAGGGUGCGAGCGUUAAUCGGAAUUACUGGGCGUAAAGCGUGCGCAGGCGGUUAUAUAAGACAGAUGUGAAAUCCCCGGGCUCAACCUGGGACCUGCAUUUGUGACUGUAUAGCUAGAGUACGGUAGAGGGGGAUGGAAUUCCGCGUGUAGCAGUGAAAUGCGUAGAUAUGCGGAGGAACACCGAUGGCGAAGGCAAUCCCCUGGACCUGUACUGACGCUCAUGCACGAAAGCGUGGGGAGCAAACAGGAUUAGAUACCCCUGUAGUCCCUGUCUCUUAUAC